UGGGUUAGUAAUACAAGGCUAUGGGUUAGUAAUACAAGGCUAUGGGUUAGUAAUAUAAGGCUAUGGGUUAGUAAUAUAAGGCUAUGGGUUAGUAAUAUAAGGCUAUGGGUUAGUAAUAUAAGGCUAUGGGUUAGUAAUAUAAGGCUAUGGGUUAGUAGUAUAAUGCUAUGGAUUAGUAGUAUAAGGCUAUGGGUUAGUAGUAUAAGGCUAUGGGUUAGUAGUAUAAGGCUAUGGGUUAGUAAUAUAAGGCUAUGGGUUAGUAGUAUAAGGCUGUGGGUUAGUAAUAUAAGGCUAUGGGUUAGUUUAAAAAUAAAGGAAAACAAGUUAAAGUUACAGACAAAGUGCACCAGCGAACACAAAGAUAUUGCGGACACGUAUGGAGAAUGUCACACACCAGCCCGACCUGCAUUUCUUCUUUUCAAUUUCAACUUUCUACCUUUUUCUCAAUGUCUGCUAAGUUUACAAAAUGUUGAUAAUAAAGUAAUUAUUUGAGUAAUUCCAAUUGUUCACUAAUAUUAAAAGAAGUUAAAUAAAAUUCAAAUAAGCUGCAACCAUUGUUAUGUCGGUAAUUUCUUGAUUAAGUGCCGUUUGUUGUUGCGCGUGAUGAAGAAGUGUCCAUCCUGUGGACGUGGGCUUUGAGCUGAACAGCAACUCUUUUAAUCUGGAUAUUAACUAUGUAUUCAGUAGAGUUUUGAACUUAAUCAGACAAAUAUUGUAAAUGUUUUUUUUAUCUGUAUUGACGAAUUAGAUUCCAAAUUAAAAUGCGAAAUAAAACAGAA
ensembl:lncRNA